UGUUGAUUCUUGUCAAUGGUAAACAAUAUUUCCGUGUCAUUUUAAGAAGCUUCCCUUUAGUGUCUUAUCUUCCGUAACGUGUUUUAGAGAAUUGGUCUGCACUGUACUUGACGAUCUUUCUAAGGAGCUUCAGUAUAUGACUAGAACGAAGAGUGGCAAUUGGUGGAGAUGGUAGCUGCGUGUGAUGGUGUGUUCAGAUCUUAUUCUCGACGAAGGAGAUGGAA